rnacentral:piRNA from 1 species
UGUGUCACUUUUCAAAAUUUUGAUGGCCAC